rnacentral:rRNA from 1 species
UCCUUAAUUAAUCAUAAUUUUAUUAGUAAAAUUAUUUGUUUAAAUUAAUGUAAAUAUAUCUUAUUUGUAUUAAUAAUAGAGCUUUUUUAAAAGCACUCGACUUAAAAGUUUUAGACCGUUUAUCAAAAACAUCCCUUAAAAUUUAAGUAGCCCCUGCCCAGUGAAAAAGUUAAACGGCCCUUUAGCUAAGGUAGCAUAAUAAUUUGCUUUUUAAAUAAAAGAUGGAAUGAACGGGGUAACUAAAAACAAUUUUUUAAAAAAUUAAUUGAAUUUAUUUUUAAUUGAAAAGAAUUAAAUAAAUUUUAAAGACGAUAAGACCCUAUGAAGCUUUAAUAAUUUUAAUAAAUAAAAAUAUUUAUGUUAUUUUAUUUGGGGUAAAACUUAAUGUUAUUAUUAAUUAAUAAGUAAAAUGCUGAUCUUUUUGAAUUUUAAGAAAUAGCUACUCUAGGGAUAACAGCAUAAUCUAAAUUAAAGUUCUUAUUAAAAUUUAGGUUUGUGACCUCGAUGUUGAAUUAAGAAUUUAGUUAGGUGCAGAAGCUUAAUUAAAUUGGUCUGUUCGACCAAUAUUUCUUACAUGAUUUGAGUUUAGAUCGACGUAAGUCAGAUUAGUUUCUAUCUUAAAAUCAUUAAUAAAGUUUUA